rnacentral:rRNA from 1 species
AACCUCCGCAAUGUGAGAAAUCGCGACGGGGGGAUCCCAAGUGCCAUUCUUAACGGGAUGGCUUUUCAUUAGUGUAAAGAGCUUUUGGAAUAAGAGCUGGGCAAGACCGGUGCCAGCCGCCGCGGUAACACCGGCAGCUCUAGUGGUAACAAUUUUUAUUGGGCCUAAAGCGUCCGUAGCCGGUUUAAUAAGUCUCUGGUGAAAUCCUGCAGCUUAACUGUGGGAAUUGCUGGAGAUACUAUUAGACUUGAGACCGGGAGAGGUUAGAGGUACUCCCAGGGUAGAGGUGAAAUUCUGUAAUCCUGGGAGGACCGCCUGUUGCGAAGGCGUCUAACUGGAACGGUUCUGACGGUGAGGGACGAAAGUUAGGGGCGCGAACCGGAUUAGAUACCCGGGUAGUCCUAACUGUAACGAUGCGGACUUGGUGUUGGGGUGGCUUUGAGCUGCUCCAGUGCCGAAGGGAAGCUGUUAAGUCCGCCGCCUGGGAAGUACGGUCGCAAGACUGAAACUUAAAGGAAUU